rnacentral:rRNA from 1 species
UAGAGUUUGAUCCUGGCUCAGGAUAAACGCUAGCGGCGCGCCUAAUGCAUGCAAGUCGAGCGAUGAGGUCCUUCGGGGCCAUCAGCGGCAAACGGGUGAGUAACACAUGGGUAACCUGCCUUCAAGCCGGGGAUAACGGAUGGAAACGUUCGCUAAUACCCGAUGCGUACGCUUAAGAGGAGACUGUGAGCGUAGAAAGUUACGGCGCUUGGAGAGGGGCCCGUGGCCCAUCAGUUAGUUGGUAGGGUAACGGCCUACCAAGGCGAAGACGGGUAGGGGGUGUGAGAGCACGGCCCCCCACAAUGGGACUGAGAGACGGCCCAUACUCUUACGGGAGGCAGCAGCAGGGAAUCUUGCGCAAUGGACGGGAGUCCGACGCAGCGACGCCGCGUGGGUGAAGACGGCCUUCGGGUUGUAAAGCCCUUUUCUGGGGGAAGAGAGAGGACGGUACUCCAGGAAUAAGUGUCGGCUAACUACGUGCCAGCAGCCGCGGUAAUACGUAGGACACGAGCGUUAUCCGGAUUUACUGGGCGUAAAGCGCCUGUAGGCGGUUCUUCAAGUCGUUUGUGAAAGCCCUGGGCUCAACCUGGGGAGGCCAAGCGAUACUGGAGGACUUGAGGGUGACAGAGGGGAGUGGAAUUUCCGGUGUAGCGGUAAAAUGCGCAGAUAUCGGGAGGAACACCAGUGGCGAAGGCGGCUCCCUGGGUCACCCCUGACGCUGAGAGGCGAAAGCUAGGGGAGCAAACAGGAUUAGAGACCCUGGUAGUCCUAGCCCUAAACGCUGGAUGCCAGGUGUGGGAUCGAGAGAUUCCGUGCCACAGCUAACGCGAUAAGCAUCCCGCCUGGGGACUACGGCCGCAAGGUUAAAACUCAAAGGAAUUGACGGGUCCCCGCACAAGCAGCGGAGCGUGUGGUUUAAUUCGUUGCUACACGAAGAACCUUACCUGGGUUUGACAUAGCAGUGGUAGGGAAGCGAAAGCAGACCGACCCUCCGGGGAGCUGUUACAGGUGUUGCAUGGCUGUCGUCAGCUCGUGUCGUGAGAUGUUCGGUUAAGUCCGCUAACGAGCGCAACCCUCGCUGUGUGUUACAAGUGUCACACGGUACUGCCGGUAUUAAGUCGGAGGAAGGUGGGGAUGACGUCAAGUCAGCAUGACCUUUAUAUCCAGGGCUACACACACGCUACAAUGGUCAGUACAAUAGGUUGCCAAGCCGCGAGGCGGAGCCAAUCCUAAAAAGCUGGCCUCAGUUCAGAUUGCAGUCUGCAACUCGACUGCAUGAAGUUGGAGUUGCUAGUAACCGCAGGUCAGCUAUACUGCGGUGAAUACGUUCCCGGGGAUUGCACACACCGCCCGUCA